UGGGGAAUAUUGCACAAUGGGCGCAAGCCUGAUGCAACCAUGCCGCGUGUGUGAAGAAGGCCUUCGGGUUGUAAAGCACUUUCAGCGAGGAGGAAGGGUGGUGUGUUAAUAGCACAUUGCAUUGACGUUACUCGCAGAAGAAGCACCGGCUAACUCCGUGCCAGCAGCCGCGGUAAUACGGAGGGUGCAAGCGUUAAUCGGAAUUACUGGGCGUAAAGCGCACGCAGGCGGUUUGUUAAGUCAGAUGUGAAAUCCCCGCGCUUAACGUGGGAACUGCAUUUGAAACUGGCAAGCUAGAGUCUUGUAGAGGGGGGUAGAAUUCCAGGUGUAGCGGUGAAAUGCGUAGAGAUCUGGAGGAAUACCGGUGGCGAAGGCGGCCCCCUGGACAAAGACUGACGCUCAGGUGCGAAAGCGUGGGGAGCAAACA
rnacentral:rRNA from 1 species